UCACUUUCAUUGUAGAGCCAUCGGCAGUUUGAAUAUUUGGAAGACAUGAAUUCUGUAUUUUUGUGGUAAAUAUGGAUGAAUCAUUUGUCAUGUGAUUGCAACAUGCAGAAUCAAAAUACCAAGAUGUACCUGAAGUGACAGAAAAUGCAGUGGAGGGAGAGCUGGCUUUAGAUAAAACCUGUUUGAGCAAGGAUUCUAGCUCG
rnacentral:lncRNA from 1 species